rnacentral:misc_RNA from 1 species
AAAUAACGGCCGUUACGUUAUAUUUCAUUCCAUGAUCCCUACAAUGGCAUGCCAUAUUACAACCUAGUGCAAGCAAACAUGGCUGUGAAGGAUUUCAGAAGAUAAACACACCUCUAGUGUAACUAGUUUAGUAUGUAAUUAUACUUAAGUUGGACCUUCCUAUCCGUUGACUUAAGCUCAUUUGUUGAAUGCCCGAGGGAGUGUCAACCACAAAAAAAUCUACUGCUGAUAGAGGAAAUUUCAUAUAGUUGGGCUCCUGAGAAAAAGUAAUUACCACUACUCUUUCUCCAGCAUCU